rnacentral:lncRNA from 1 species
GAGCCACAGGAGGAGAGCCUGGGACCCGGAUCCCCACUUGAAGGAAAGCUACCUGAUGGCUGAGAGCACCUCUUUCGAACUUCACAUGAAAAGGAAUCCCCUGUUUGUUACUCUGCUGAGAUUUGGGGGUUUAUCUGUUUCAGCAGCAGAGUGAUCUCAACUCGCAUAACUGCAAAGGAGCAAUGUUUGCUUUCCCUCAUUCACGGCUCAUCCUGAUUCUGGGUAAAAUAGCAGCUUUAUCACAGGCAUCGAAUUACUUUCUCCAUUUUACUUCACUUUCAUUGCAUUUUGAUUGAAAAUCAAAAAAGACACAAAAUUGGGAAGCAUCUGCCUCAGGGAAGAAGUCAUCCACAGGCCACACGUCGGAGGAGGUUCUGCCAAGUGGAGUACGGAGGGGAUCAG